GCCCCGAUAGUGAAGUCCGGCCAAUCAUACUAGGUUCUCAUCCUGGUGACCUGGGUUCGAAUCCCAGUCGGGGCG
rnacentral:tRNA from 1 species